UUCUCCUUCACACCGGUCCCCGUACGACCCCGUCGGCGUGGUGAACGCCGUUCCUCGAGGACGGACUUUACUUUCUCUCCCGGCGCGCGUUUCUCUCCGCCCAUCACCCCUCGCUUUCGAUCCCGACACGCCUCGACGCCUUUCAACUCCGCUUCUGACGCCUUUCAACUCCGCCCCGACGUCGCUUCGUACUAUGGACCCUCGACCCUCGUCGCUCAGAUCACGGGCAACGCCGAGUACGAGCUGUUCCUCGCGUUCCUCGCCUUCCUGUGGCUCACCUCGCGACCGGGGCUCAUCCCCGG
rnacentral:lncRNA from 1 species